rnacentral:lncRNA from 12 species
AAUCAGUGACCCCUCAGGCCUCUUAGUUCUUCUGACUGAGCCUUGUCUCUGCAGUGCCUGUGCAAAUGUUGAGAAAUCCAAGGAAAUGCUGCAGCAAUGCAUUGGAAUCCCGGAGCCAGGAGCCUUGAGUCUGUGUGAGAAGAACACCAAGCAGGAGAAGGAAGGUUCAGCCCAGGAAAAAAAGGCAGAGCUGAAGGACAGGAUGGAGGCAAGUGAGCGUGAAAGGCUCCAUGCAGAGAUGCUGGAGCAAUGGGGAAAAGAGAAGGCAGAGAGAGAGCAGGAGCACCAGAAGGUGCUGUCUGAGAUGAGGCAGAAAGUUGCCACCCUGCAGGCCAAACAAGAAGGGGAACAAACUAGAUUUGAAAAUGCCAGGCAAGAGGUAAUGAUUGUGAAAGGAGAACUGGUGUGAUUUUUUGCCAGGCUGGAACUGUGGCAGAUGGCAGGAUAUGGGCUGUGUGGAGCAUGCCCUCCAUGUCUUCUACAUUGAAUUUGGGGUGCUGAAAGGUGAACGGGGCAAUCUUUGGGCCCAGGAAUGAGCCCUCUCAUAGGAAGCCAGGCAGAAACAUCAGCUUUCAGCUGAGAUGUGAGUGCUGCUCUUGUGCUCUGUUUCUCUAAGAUGAACCUCAGAGUAUCUUCACUGUAUCUCUUCCUGCUGCCCUUUUGGUGUGUACUGGCAGUUGUUCAUAGCCAGAGUUUAUAGGGCUUCCCUUUU